UUUUUUCCAACUGACAGAUGCUAGUUCUUUAGUUUUCUGAAAUCAGAUUUGACUUCAGCAGGGCCUCAGGUGCACUGACUGCUGCUGCUGCUGUUUCCUGAUACCAUUUUUCUCCAACCUAAACCCAGGUCCCGGUCUAGAUCCCGCUCCAGAUCCAGAGGAAGAAGGUAUUCUCGGUCACGCAGUCGGAGUCGCGGUAGGAGGUCCAGGUCAGCUUCCUACCGCCGGUCCCGGUCCGUUUCUCCUCGUAGGUCUAGGUCUGUGUCUCCCCGCCGGUCCCGAUCGGGUUCCUUGAAGAGAUCAAGGUCUAGAUCAAGAUCCAGGUCUAGAUCCCGUUCUGUUACGUGGCCCCGAAGCAGGUCUAGGUCCCAUGGCAGAUCAAAAUCUGGCUCGCCGGCUAAGAGUCGGUCAAAGUCCCGAUCACCGUCUCCAAAGAGAAGUCGCUCGCCGUCAGGAAGCCCUCAAAGAAGUGCAAGUCCUGAAAGAAUGGAUUAAAGUUAUGAAGUCAAUCUUUUAGGAAGAAAGUUAUUUUGCUUACAUUAUUAUAAGGGAUUUUGUGGUGUCUUUGUAAAUGUAAGAAUGUAGAUAGAAGAGUAUAUCAACUAAAAUUUGGCAUGAUCUGGGUCUUCUGAGUUAGUCACACCAAUAGACUUGCACAGGUCUCUUUUUAUUGUACCAAUUAACUUCCUGUGAUAUGAAAAUGUGGGACUUUUUUUAUUGGCACAUUGAAAUAAAAUGUGUAUUUUUAAC